GAUGAACGCUGGCGGCGUGCCUAAUACAUGCAAGUCGAGCGAACAGACGAGGAGCUUGCUCCUCUGACGUUAGCGGCGGACGGGUGAGUAACACGUGGAUAACCUACCUAUAAGACUGGUAUAACUUCGGGAAACCGGAGCUAAUACCGGAUAAUAUAUUGAACCGCAUGGUUCAAUAGUGAAAGACGGUUUUGCUGUCACUUAUAGAUGGAUCCGCGCCGCAUUAGCUAGUUGGUAAGGUAACGGCUUACCAAGGCGACGAUGCGUAGCCGACCUGAGAGGGUGAUCGGCCACCCUGGAAGUGAGCCACGGUCCAGACUCCUACGGGAGGCAGCAGUAGGGAAUCUUCCGCAAUGGGCGAAAGCAUGACGGAGCAACGCCGCGUGAGUGAUGAAGGUCUUCGGAUCGUAAAACUCUGUUAUUAGGGAAGAACAAAUGUGUAAGUAACUAUGCACGUCUUGACGGUACCUAAUCAGAAAGCCACGGCUAACUACGUG
rnacentral:rRNA from 1 species